AUUGAACGCUGGCGGCAUGCCUAACACAUGCAAGUCGCGCGAGCUGUAGCAAUACAGCUAGCGGCGGACGGGUGAGGAAUACAUAGGAAUCUGCCUCAGAGCGGGGAGUAGCCAGGAACCAGUAGUGAGUAAUACCGCAUGAUGUCGCAAGACCAAAGCUGGGACCGCAGCCUAGCACUCUGAGAGGAGCUUAUGUCUGAUUAGCUAGUUGGUGAGGUAAUGGCUCACCAAGGCGACGAUCAGUAACUGGUCUGAGAGGACGAUCAGUCACACCGGAACUGAGACACGGUCCGGACUCCUACGGGAGGCAGCAGUGGGGAAUAUUGGACAAUGGCGCAAGCCUGAUCCAGCAAUGCCGCGUGUGUGAAGAAGGCCUCGGGUUGUAAAGCACUUUAGGCUGGAAGAAAAAUCGAAGCUAACAUCUUCGAUCUUGACGGUACCAGCAGAAUAAGCACCGGCUAACUCUGUGCCAGCAGCCGCGGUAAUACAGAGGGUGCAAGCGUUAAUCGGA
rnacentral:rRNA from 1 species